UACGAAGGGGGCUAGCGUUGUUCGGAAUCACUGGGCGUAAAGGGCGCGUAGGCGGCUUUAUAAGUCGGGGGUGAAAGCCUGUGGCUCAACCACAGAAUUGCCUUCGAUACUGUAGAGCUUGAGACCGGAAGAGGUAAGUGGAACUGCGAGUGUAGAGGUGAAAUUCGUAGAUAUUCGCAAGAACACCAGUGGCGAAGGCGGCUUACUGGUCCGGUACUGACGCUGAGGUGCGAAAGCGUGGGGAGCAAACAGG
rnacentral:rRNA from 1 species